UUCCCCCAAACCCUCAUUUUUCCCAAAACUCCAUUUUUUAUCCCUAAAACCCCCAUUUUGCUCUCCGACCCCCUAAUUUUCCCUUCCCACCCCCUACCUUUUGCCCCCAACCCCUCCACAAUUCCCCAAUUCUUCCCCCCACCCCCCACCCCCCCACCCCCACAGAAUCCCCCCCCUCCCCCUCAAUUUCACCAAAAUCCCCUUUUUUCUCCCCAAAGACCCCUCGGAGCUCCCCAAAUUCCUCCGCCCGCUCCACGAGGGGACCCUGGUGCUGGUGGCCUCCUUCGACGACCCCGCCACCAAGCUGACGGAGGAGUCGCGGCGGCUGCUGGCCGAGCUGGGCAGCGGGGCCGUGGGGGAUUUGGGGUUCCGCGACAGCUGGGUCUUCGUGGGGGCCAAGGGGGUCCGCGAGAGGAGCCCCUUCGAGCAGCACGUGAAGAACAGCCGCGGGGCCAACAAGUACGAGGGGUGGCCGGAGGCGCUGGAGAUGGAGGGGUGCAUCCCCCGCCGGGGGGCUGAGCCCCCCUGAGAGGCUAUGGGGCUGGCCCCACAGCUUGGGGGGCAGCCCUAUAGCAGGGGGGGAGCUCCAGCCCCAUAGCAAUGGGGUCAGCCCCAUAGCA
rnacentral:lncRNA from 1 species